GACGAACGCUGGCGGCGUGCUUAACACAUGCAAGUCGAACGGAAAGGCCCUGCUUUUGUGGGGUGCUCGAGUCGCGAAAGUAUGAGUAACACGUCAGUAACCCGCCCCUGACUUUGGGAUAACUUCAUGAAACUGGGGCUAAUAGUGGAUAGGAGCUCCUGCUGCAUGUUGGGGGUUGGAUAGUUUCGGCGGGUGGGGAUGGACGCGCGGCUUAUCAGCUUGUUGGUGGGGUAGUGGCUUACCAAGGCCUUGACGGGUAGCCGGCCUGAGAGGGUGACCGGCCACACUGGGACUGAGACACGGCCCAGACUCCUACGGGAGGCAGCAGUGGGGAAUAUUGCACAAUGGGCGGAAGCCUGACGCAGCGACGCCGCGUGCGGGAUGACGGCCUUCGGGUUGUAAACCGCUUUCGCCUGUGACGAAGCGCGAGUGACGGUAAUUGGAGAAGAAGCACCGGCUAACUACGUG
rnacentral:rRNA from 1 species